GGAAAACACUACUUUUUCGUACGUUAUGUUCCAUGUUUUACAAAUUUCAAAUGAAUAUCUUAAAUUAAAAACUUCAGUUACAUACAAUAUCAAAUUAUAUUAAAAUCAUUUUUAAUAAUAAUAUGUGCGUUUGCGUUUAACAAGUAAAUUUAAAUCGUCGUGAAAUAUUAUUAUUUAAACAUAUCUUAUAGAUUAUCGGGCACGUCUAAAAAAAAUAAGGUUAUUUCACUUAGAUUCGCUUUAAAAAUAUGAUGUUUGAACAAAAUUAUAAAGUUAAUAUAGAGGAAUCUAAAAAUUCGAAAACGGUAGAAGAUCAUGACGAAUAUCAGUAUUUGAAUUUGAUCAAGAAAAUAAUUAAAACUGGAGUUAAAAAAAAUGAUAGAACUGGAGUUGGAACUUAUUCGAUUUUUGGAACACAGAUGCGUUUCAAUUUAGCAAAUGGAAUAUUUCCUUUGUUGACUACAAAACGAGUCUUUUGGCGUGGAGUCAUAGAAGAAUUGUUAUGGUUUAUUAAAGGAUCGACUAAUGUAAAAGAAUUACAAGAUAAAGGAGUACAUAUUUGGGAUUCCAAUGGUUCUCGUGCUUUUCUUGAUUCUUGUGGUUUUACUGACAGAGAAGAAGGUGAUCUCGGCCCAGUAUAUGGAUUUCAAUGGAGACAUUACGGCGUGGAAUACAAAAAUAUGCAUUCAAAUUACAAAGAACAAGGUAUUGACCAGUUGAAGGAAGUCAUUCAUAAAAUAAAACACUCACCGGAUGAUAGAAGAAUAAUAAUGACUGCAUGGAAUCCAGUUGAUAUUCCAAAAAUGGCUUUACCACCUUGUCACUGUUUGGUACAAUUUUAUGUAAGCAACGGAACGUUGUCAUGUCAACUUUAUCAAAGAAGUGCCGAUAUGGGUCUUGGUGUUCCAUUUAAUAUAGCGUCAUAUUCUCUAUUAACUUACAUGGUGGCUCAUAUUACAGAUUUGAAGCCAGGUGAAUUUAUACACACGAUGGGUGAUUGUCAUAUAUACAUUAAUCAUAUAUCGGCACUUGAAGAACAAAUAAAACGCGCACCGAGGCCUUUUCCCACAUUGAAAAUAAUUGGUGACGUUAAAGAUAUAGAUGACUAUACAUUUAAUAAUUUUGAACUAAUAAAUUAUAAGCCACAUCCAAAAAUUGAUAUGAAAAUGGCAGUUUAAUUCAAUGUUUAUAUAUGGGUCCAUUAGGACUAUACAUUGCAUAUUAGAAGCGAAGAAAAAUACUCAAUCCUUUCCAAGAUAUUGAAUGAAGAAAUUUUACUAACAUUAAAAUUCCUCAAUUCCAUAAAAGAGAGAGUAAUAACUAUAUAACUAUACAUUAUUGAAAGUGAUCGAUGAUCAAAUCUAGGGCAAGAGAAAGUUAAAUAAAAAAGCUUCUGUAUCUAUAGUCCAAAAAGUAUAUAAAUACCUGUCACUGACAUUUUGUGAAAGCUAUAUGUUAACUUGACUAGAUCAUUACAUCUUUAUCUGUAUUCAGCAAAGAAUUAAACAGUGCUAAUAUUUCAUAUGAAUUACAAGAAGUACAUCUUUAUAUAUCUUCUUUUACAUUCAAUAUGUAUUAUCACUUGUAAUAAAUCAAUAUCAACUUAUUUUCUAUCAAAGUUAGAACAGAUGAAUAAAUUGAGAAAACCUGUUUAUACAUUUGUCAAAACUGACAAGGAAGCAAACAUUAAAUGGGGUGUACGACAUUAUAUUCCCAGAGCAACAGAUAUAAAAAAAUAACUGAACAACAUUCUGCUACAGUUACAAUGUAGAAUAAAAGUGCAACACACACAAUAUGCAUUUUUUAUUUUAAAAAUGUUGAUAAAUUAUUUGAUGUAUUUAUCCUUUAUUGUUGUUGUUCUACCGAAAUUGGAAUUUGAGAAUAUGUUAUUCUUUCUUCUUAAAACGAACUAUUACUUAUAGAAUUUAUUUAAUUAUGGAUGUGUGAAUUAGAAAUAAUUAUCUUGAAACAUCUUGUAUAUUCUGAAGAAAAACAUAUGAUGAAUAAAUUUAGAUUGUGUU